GCACCUCGCUGCUGCUAUGCCACCAACCUCCCACUCCACUCACGCCACCCACCCCGAGCCAGAUCUAGAUCGAGACCCCCUCCACCGGCGGCCCCCCGUCCCGUCCCCCACCGGCGGCCUCCUGUCUCCCCUUCCUCAACCUCCUCUCCUCUCUCCUCAACCUCCUCUCCUCUCCUGGGCUCCGCCCACACGGGAAACUGCUGCUCGGCGUCUCCAGCAAUCAAGCAGCAGCCAAGGCCGGGCUCCCAGCCUCCGCGCGGCGUCGUCUCUCCCUUCCCCGCCGUCAUAUGUCACCGUCGUCGUCGCGAUCCGGCCCUCCGCGCCACAGCGGUAGAAGAUAGCGACAGAGUGGGAAGGUUUGUGCAAAGAUCUUCUCCGUCGCCGUCCGCGACAAAGCUGCUGGGUGCAUCCGUCCAUCAUCUUCAGAUCUGAGUGAAGAGGGCAUCCGUCCAUCUCAAAAGCUUUUGUUCUUAGCAGACAAAUCUGGGAGAAUGUACUAGCUGCAUAUAUUGGUUCUUGGGUUUAUUAUUAGAGCUUUUUAUCUGCAUAUAUACAUAGGAGUGAGAAUGCCCAGGUAUGCGACCCUAAAUUUAGUUUCACUGCUUUCUUACUCAUGGGAUUUAUCGAAUUAAUAACUAUAAUGGAUUAAUGAGAAAAAGACAAGGGAAAUUAGCUUUAUAAAAGUGAAACUAUUCAUGGUAAACAUUUGGCAGAAGAGAAUCACAAAAUGAACAACAGCCUCCCUCACGGGAAACAUCAGGUGUGGUAAAAUGUUCACUUAAAAAACUAGAGAUUACUUCCUGGUUUCCUUAUGCCUCGUUGCUACUGGUGCUGUCUGUUUAGGUAACCCUCUGCCUCAUGGUGUUCAGCUGGUUGCCACCAAUCUGCUAAGUAUACAUAAAGUGAAUUUGAGUUAUAUAAAUAUGCCAACUGUCUACAAGACACCACUAACAUAGAACAAAAUGAUGUAGUCUAGAGUUCAGCAUGACUUUGUUUUUUCUGCUCUUUUUGGUAAGCAUACCAAAGCAAAACCAACCUCAAGCCUUUGAAAGUUUGAACCAUUGAUCUGCUCUGUACUUCCUAUCCAUUUUCACAUCAAUUAGGUGCGUCGACAUCGACACGGGCUGGGGCGGCGGCGGCGAUGACAUCUGACAUCGACACGGGGCUGCUGCUGUGACGACGGCGGCAUUGUCCGGCGCCGACCACGACGACGACGACAUCGUCACGGUGCUGCGGCAGCGACGCCGACGACAUCAACACGAGCUUGUGGAGGCGCCGACGCUGACGACCUAUACGUGUGGCGUAUAUUGUAUAUAUAUGUGUAUUAAUUAUCUAUAUCAAAUAUGUAUGAUUGACGGUAUGCAGAACAUGUACUAUUAUGAAAGGCGACUGUUAGGCGCCGGCGCACCGGCCGAAAAUUUCGGCCGGUCAGCCCCCAGCACACCUCGAACCGUUAAUUUCCCCUAA